rnacentral:rRNA from 1 species
UACGUAGGGGGCUAGCGUUGUCCGGAAUCAUUGGGCGUAAAGCGCGUGUAGGCGGUCCGGUAAGUCCGCUGUGAAAGUCGGGGGCUCAGCCCUCGGAUGCCGGUGGAUACUGUCGGGCUUGAGUACGGAAGAGGCGAGUGGAAUUCCUGGUGUAGCGGUGAAAUGCGCAGAUAUCAGGAGGAACACCAAUUGCGAAGGCAGCUCGCUGGGACGUUACUGACGCUGAGACGCGAAAGCGUGGGGAGCAAACAGG